rnacentral:rRNA from 1 species
UGGUGAAUAUUGGACAAUGGGCGCAAGCCUGAUCCAGCCAUGCCGCGUGCGGGAAGAAGGCCUUCGGGUUGUAAACUGCUUUUGUACGGAACGAAACGGUCUUUUUUAAUACAAGGGGCUAAUGACGGUACCGUAAGAAUAAGCACCGGCUAACUACGUGCCAGCAGCCGCGGUAAUACGUAGGGUGCAAGCGUUAAUCGGAAUUACUGGGCGUAAAGCGUGCGCAGGCGGUUAUGCAAGACAGAUGUGAAAUCCCCGGGCUCAACCUGGGAACUGCAUUUGUGACUGCAUAGCUAGAGUACGGUAGAGGGUGAUGGAAUUCCGCGUGUAGCAGUGAAAUGCGUAGAUAUGCGGAGGAACACCGAUGGCGAAGGCAAUCCCCUGGACCUGUACUGACGCUCAUGCACGAAAGCGUGGGGAGCAAACA